UACAGAGGGUGCGAGCGUUGUCCGGAAUCACUGGGCGUAAAGGGCGCGUAGGUGGCGACCCAAGUCUGUGGUGAAAGCUCGACGCUCAACGUCGAGUCGGCCAUAGAUACUGGGUUGCUGGAGCACUGUAGAGGCAGAUGGAAUUCCUGGUGUAGCGGUGAAAUGCGCAGAUAUCAGGAGGAACACCGGUGGCGAAGGCGGUUCUCUGGGCAUGACCUGACGCUGAGGAGCGAAAGUGUGGGGAGCGAACAGG
rnacentral:rRNA from 1 species